GUAUGAAAAACACCUUGCAGAAGACUUGACACCUGCUGAGACAGCUUUGAGCAAAAGACAUUCUGCAAUACAAAGGGAACUACUGACUGAAGCAGAAGUAGAGGAUGUACACUAAAGGGAAAUGAACGCACUAAAGCAAAGGUCUAAAAGCGCAGUUUGGGAGUAUUACACUCAGCCAACACCAGGGAAGGCAGUCUGCAACACAUGCAAAGAAGGUCACUGGAGAGCACGCUGAGCAACUCUGCUUUCUGC